rnacentral:sRNA from 1 species
UGCAAAGCAAGAAGAAGAACAACACACACUCAACGAAUCUGCCUUUUCCCUGCAAAAACGUCAACAAGCAUUGCCUAUGUCACACUCCUUU